UGUUCGAGUUGAUUGCAAAAAAUUGCAAAGAAAAUGGGAUGUAAGCUGCCGGCAGAAGUAUACCUAAGGGUUAUUUUUUCCGUAACGGGUGCUCAUCACCCCACCUGAGAAAAAAUGGAAAAAAUGUAAAAUUCGGUUGACGUGGAAUCGGGGUAACCGGAGUCCGACGAUGCCAAACAAAACUCAACACAAUCUGUGCCAAAAGCCGUUGCAAAUCGAGCUGAAUCAAGCUGAAUCGAUGUGCGAAUGGGCAAGGACAGCCAAAACAACAACAACAACAAUAACAAGGGCACGGCAGCAAGGACAAACAGAAACAGGAAAUGGACGUUGUGUGCUCAAGUUUGUUUCCGCUUUCCUUCUUUUGAAAUUCAAUGCUACGCUUUUUGUUGAUCUCGUGCAGGAAAAACGCAUUGUAACGUGGCCAAACGCCAACCAAUAAGACCAGAGCAAUCCCCAUAUAAAGAGAGAUAGAGGGAUUGAUGGAGAGAGAUAGGGAUAGAGAUAGAGGAAGGCCAAACCUAGCCCCGAAAAUCGAUAAAAUGAAGCGCUUUAACAUUGCGGUCGACUGAAUCUACAUCGAAUUUUCAAUUUGCAGGGAAGCCACAUGUUAACUGCCAACCUCUGCCGGGCAAAAAUUCCCAUGACAUGGUCAACAAGUUUAUGAAGGUAACACAAAAAAAAUACCUACACGGUGGUCCAAAAAUGGAAACCACUAGAAAAACUUCAUCUACAACUGCCAACAUCAGAGAGAGAAGGGAAAAAGCAAACUUUGCUACCCACUUGAUAUGUUAAAUCUGCGUGAAUUUAUCAACUUUACUAAUUAACAGCGUUUCCCCUGCAGCCCAGAGGGCCAAAAUCUGUUUACAUUUGCAACAUGAGAAAUUGUUGGGCCAACAGCAACAACACACGGGGCCAUAACUUGUUAACGGUAUCACUUAUGUAAGUUCAUUAGCAGCAAAGCCCAGCCAUCAAUCAAAUCAGCAAGCUGGCCAACUGACUUGGCCAACAUCGGUUCGGUUAGUUUGCGUUCGCAUUUCUCGACUGGAAGUGAAAUGAAAAUUAGAAUGAGCGCACACACACACGUUCACGGAGAUCGACUGAUGGAGUGACAGGUGAGUAUAUGUGUGCGUGUUCGUGUGGAGCAGGAUUCCAGGCUCCGUGUUCGGGGUUCGGUUGUCCUUGUUCCGGUACGGAUCCUUGGACAAUGCCCGAGGGCAACGCGUUGUCACGUGAGCGGAGAGCAGGGCAAUCAACGAAUCAGGCAACCAAUCAAGCGGCGUGUGACAUGCAACUGAAGCAGCUACGUGACCUCGAUGAACAGAGAAUCCCAGUCCAAUCCAAGUCCAUCCGGGGCAACCACAGUGGUGCCA